AUUGAACGCUGGCGGCAUGCCUUACACAUGCAAGUCGAACGGCAGCACGGGUGCUUGCACCUGGUGGCGAGUGGCGAACGGGUGAGUAAUACAUCGGAACGUACCUUAUCGUGGGGGAUAACGCAGCGAAAGUUGCGCUAAUACCGCAUACGCCCUGAGGGGGAAAGCGGGGGACCGUAAGGCCUCGCGCGAUUAGAGCGGCCGAUGUCUGAUUAUCUUGUUGGUGAGGUAAACGCGCACCAAGGCGAUGAUCAGUAGCGGGUCUGAGAGGACGAUCAGCAACACGGGGACGGAGACACGGCCCAGAAUCCUACGGGAGGCAGCGGUGGGGAAUGUGGGACAAUGGGGGCAACCCUGAUCCAGCAAUGCCGCGUGAGUGAAGAAGGCCUUCGGGUUGUAAAGCUCUUUUGUCAGGGAAGAAACAGCAGCUCUAACACAGUCUGCGAAUGACGGUACCUGAAGAAUAAGCACCGGCUAACUACGUGCCAGCAGCCGCCGUAA
rnacentral:rRNA from 1 species